rnacentral:rRNA from 2 species
UCAUAAUCAGUGAAAACGAGUAGGGCGGGACACGUGAUAUCCUGUCUGAAUAUGGGGGGACCAUCCUCCAAGGCUAAAUACUACUGACUGACCGAUAGUGAACCAGUACCGUGAGGGAAAGGCGAAAAGAACCCCUGUGAGGGGAGUGAAAUAGAACCUGAAACCGUGUACGUACAAGCAGUAGGAGCACCUUCGUGGUGUGACUGCGUACCUUUUGUAUAAUGGGUCAGCGACUUAAUUUUAGUAGCAAGGUUAACCGUUUAGGGGAGCCGUAGGGAAACCGAGUCUUAACUGGGCGUACAGUUGCUAGGAUUAGACCCGAAACCAGGUGAUCUAGCCAUGGGCAGGUUGAAGGUUGAGUAACAUCAACUGGAGGACCGAACCGACUAAUGUUGAAAAAUUAGCGGAUGACUUGUGGCUAGGGGUGAAAGGCCAAUCAAACCUGGAGAUAGCUGGUUCUCCCCGAAAGCUAUUUAGGUAGCGCCUCGGACGAAUACUACUGGGGGUAGAGCACUGUUAAGGCUAGGGGGUCAUCCCGACUUACCAACCCUUUGCAAACUCCGAAUACCAGUAAGUACUAUCCGGGAGACACACGGCGGGUGCUAACGUCCGUCGUGGAGAGGGAAACAACCCAGACCGCCAGCUAAGGUCCCAAAGUAUAGCUAAGUGGGAAACGAUGUGGGAAGGCUCAGACAGCCAGGAUGUUGGCUUAGAAGCAGCCAUCAUUUAAAGAAAGCGUAAUAGCUCACUGGUCGAGUCGGCCUGCGCGGAAGAUGUAACGGGGCUAAGCUAUACACCGAAGCUGCGGCUACGUACCUUAGGGUAUGUGGGG